UACGUAGGGCGCGAGCGUUGUCCGGAAUUAUUGGGCGUAAAGAGCUCGUAGGCGGCUUGUCACGUCGGGUGUGAAAGCCCGGGGGCUUAACCCCGGGUCUGCAUUCGAUACGGGCUAGCUAGAGUGUGGUAGGGGAGAUCGGAAUUCCUGGUGUAGCGGUGAAAUGCGCAGAUAUCGGGAGGAACACCGGUGGCGAAGGCGGUUCUCUGGGCCUUACCUGACGCUGAGGAGCGAAAGCGUGGGGA
rnacentral:rRNA from 1 species